UUCACUUUCAGUUAUCCGUGGGUACAUGCAAGGGCGGUUUACAUAAUCUGGACGAGAACAGCAGCAAUUUACUGUAACCAUUUCCUGCCAGUAUGAAGUAUAUUAUGUACCAUGGUACAUCGGUAGACAAUGCAAAAAGUAUCAUCAUGAAUGGCUUCCGUCAGUCUUCAGAUGGAAUGCUGGGCCCAGGCAUUUACCUCUCUCGAAAUGGUUCCAAGGCUGGCUGUUUCCCAACGGACAUCUCUGAAGACCAGCGGGUGGUGUUAAAAGUUGAGGCGGAUGUUGGUAAAGUUAAAAGGAUAACAUAUCUUGGUGGACUUCAGAAGACUUGGCAUGCUCAUGGAUAUGACACUGCCUGGAUUCCACAGAACUGUAACCUAACAAAACGAGAAGAAGACUGUGUUUGGGAUCCAAAACGAAUUAGAGUCAUUGACAUUGAAAAGGCUCCUCAAAGUCACUUUCAUGAGCUAAAGACAUUGCUGGAUACAUACCAGAGAUAGAAAUCAUUUUCUACUUUUAUAUAAUUGCACAAAGCCUAAAAACAAAGGAGAGUUGAAUUAUUAUCUUACACUGGUGAUGAUCAUGUGUAAAUGUUUGAAGAGCUGGCCUGAGAAUAUGAUCAGUAAUCAAUACCUGAAACAGACUUGUGUUACAGUUAAAUAGUGGGUCAACUUUAAACCUAGUAAGAAAACUUUGGAUGCAUGUCACAUUAAACUUGUUGCCAUAAAAUUAGAUCCCAAAGACCACCCCCCUAAAUAAGCCAGAGCAAUCACUUCUGGAAGAGUGUUAAUAAAAGGUCUGCAAGGGGGGUCUUCCUCAGAGUGUCUUGAUUUAUAAGUUGAUUGAGUAAUUGCUGCAUGAUUUCUAUACCUCCAACACCAUUUGAACGUGCAAUAUGAAAUUUAGUUCUUAUUUUAUGAACAUGUGUACUGUACAUUCAGCCUAUAACCAUACUGGCUACAGGAUGUUAAUGAAUCAAUUCAUUAUGAAGCUGGAGUUUUCUGAUUACAACUCAAGGAUUCCAUUGUUCACAUAUUCUAUGGCUAUUGGCUUUGGUCAGACAUGUUGUUUGGCUGCAGUGAAGAGAAUGUUCCUACUAGCCAUGCUGUCCCACCUUCGGUUUGAUUUCUGGACAUAGCAAAAAUCCAUCUCAGCAGAGUGCUGUGGAUGUACUGGCGUGUGACUGUAUUGGCAAGAAAGGAAGCAUUGGUGAACAGGGAGAUGCUGGUGUGAAUUUCAUUUUUGUGGCUGGGUUAUACAAAGCAAGAAGUAAAGUCUGUGUUUAAAGCACUGCCAAUAUUUCCACAGACAGAGUCUAAGGUUUGUGGUAAAGCACUGCCAAUGUUCCUAGAGAGUCUAAAGUCUAGGGACAGAGCACUGCCAUUAUUCAUACAGACAGUCUAAUGUCUAGGAGUAAAGUACUGUAAAGUUCCUACAGACACAUUUUAAAGUCUUGAGAUAAAACACUGCCAGUGUUCCUACUGAAAGGCUGUAAAAUCUAGGGGUGAAAUACAACAAUGUUCUUACAGACAGAGUUUAAAGUCUACAGGUAAAGUGCUGCAAUGUUCCUACAGACAAUCUAAAGUCUAGGCAUAAAGCACUGGCAAUUUUGGGAUACAACACUGCCAAGUGUUCCUAAGUCUAGAGACAAAACAAUGCCGAUGUUCCUACAGAUGGAGCUUAAAGUCCAAGAAUGAAGCACUGACAAGGUUCUUACAGACAGAUCUUAGAAACAAAACUACAAUAAAGAAGACAAAAACAUUUUUUUUUUACAGAUGUAGUGAUCAGGAUAGCAAAACUUAGCCUUAGGCUUGGUUUGCAGAUGCUGGGAAGUAUUCUUAAAGAUAGUUCUCAAUUAUGUAGGGCUGAUACACCUCAAAACCCAAAUGUUAUGCUCAAACCCACUGGUACGCUGUGGUGUAAGAAGAUAUGCAUCUGUUUUCUUGAAGGAGGCCAGAUUUGCAUUUGGUAUGGAAAUGGAGAGCCACAGCAUACAAAGUGAUUCACAGACCUGCAAAUUGCAUACAUUUUUCAGGAUUAGGGCCUGGAUUUAUGGCCUUGUAAGUGCAGAUCAAGAGUAGUUAAAAGUUGCACUGCAGAGCUGGUGUUGUUCUCAGCUUAACAUGCCCGACAAGCAGAAUUAGCCUGACAUUAAAAAAAAUCCAGGUGAAUGAAAAAACGAAAUGAAUACAUCUGGUGCACACAGUAGCAUACUGCUGUGCAUUUAACCACAGUCACAGACCCACUCCUGCUACCCUCACAAAUGAAUGAUGCAGCACAACUCCCUUCAGUGGUAUGCCACAAGCUAUUGAAUUCACACAUUUCAGUUAUUUACAUAUAUUGAAAUUGCACCGUUUGCCAUCAUGAUAAAUGAGGCCAGUAUCUUUAGGAAUCGCUCCCUGCCAUUACAGUGAUUUUGUCAUGCUUGUCUAUCUGUAUGGUAUCAAACUGGUUAUAUCUGUGCUUUCCGUGCCAUACCUUUGGACGCACCAGAGCUGAAGGGUUUACUACUUCCUACAAAUGUACAGUAGCAUAACCGUGUAAUACAUGUAUUGCCUGCACAAACCGAGAACCAUAUAACUGCGUGUGAAAUGCCUCCAGUAAUAUUUCAACUAUCCGUUGCCCUCCUAUAUGGGUUUUUGUGCAAACCUCAGCCAGUUCUAACAGUAUGUUCUGUAUUUUUUUUAUGUUUGCAUGACCUAGCUGCUAACAACUGCCUCUAUUUUUAAUAUUUAGAAGGACUCCCUCUCUACGUUGUUUACAGGAGCAGACACACAUACACACAUAUAUAUAGAUAUUUUGGGGUGUUAAAAAGCUGUAAUCCGCCAGUAUGUCAUCAGUGAACUUCCAUCUUCAUGAAUUGAGCUGAUAACAUGAGCAGAUGCAAUACACAAUAAGCAGAACACACACUUAUAGCAUGCGAAUGUGCAUUAUUUUUAUGAAUAUGGGCAAGUGUUGCCCUCAGUAUAGUGAAUAAUACUAGUGACUAUACUGCAGUAUAUUUACCUCAUUACCAAUUUGUGUGUUCUCUUAUAUCAAUGUUUUUUGAAAACUUUCUUUAUGUUGAGAGCUUGCCAGUGCAGCAAAUAAAAUAUUAUUCUCUUA